GGAAUAUUGGACAAUGGGGGCAACCCUGAUCCAGCAAUGCCGCGUGCGUGAAGAAGGCCUUAGGGUUGUAAAGCGCUUUCGCCCGCGACGAUGAUGACGGUAGCGGGAGAAGAAGCCCCGGCUCACUCCGUGCCAGCAGCCGCGGUAAUACGGGGGGGGCGAGCGUGGUUCGGAAUGACUGGGCGUAAAGGGCGCGUAGGCGGCCAAGGCAGUCAGGCGUAAAAGCCCCGGGCUCAACCUGGGAUGUGCGCUUGAUACUGCUUGGCUCGAGACCGGAAGAGGAUGGCGGAAUACCCAGUGUAGAGGUGAAAUUCGUAGAUAUUGGGUGGAACACCAGUGGCGAAGGCGGCCAUCUGGUCCGGAUCUGACGCUGAGGCGCGAAAGCGUGGGGAGCAAA
rnacentral:rRNA from 1 species